UCAUUUUAUAUCAAAAUAAAGUAAAAUUUUAACACGAAAUAGGAAUAGAACCGUUCAUCAAAAUUAAUAUGUCGGAGAUUGUAAAGGUGGUUUAUACUCCUGCUUCACAAGGACGUGUAAUUUGUCAGGAUGACCGUGUCGGAGAUUGAAUUAGGCAUUUCUAAUAAUUUGAAUUGUGUGCCUACUGUUAAGGUGAUCAGUGUUAAGUAAUGAAUAUCAUGACUGAUGACUGUUUAACACUAGAUAUGUGAGAGAGAAUUCAGUCUCUUUUCCUUCUGGAAGUCAACCGUAAAGCACGUCGAGACUCGCUGCACAAAAUUAGUGGAAAAAUGGAAUCCAACAACGGAAUCAACGAUUCAGGAAACCCCGAAUUCCUCUCUACGCCGAUAUCAGAAGUGGGGUCUAACUCAAGACCAACAAUAAAUGAGGAGCAGUUUCGCAUUUUAUUAGAACAACAAAAUUGAAACUUCUGAGAUAGCAAAAACUUUUCGUGCAUCGCCUAGUGAAUCUCGACAAGAUGGUGAAAUUGUUCUACCGAAAUUUAACUCCGACGCUGCUGGAGCCAACGCCACGCAAUGGUGUGCUACGGUGGAGUGGUUCUGGCGAGUGUCUUGCCGUGUGUGGGAGUCGGCUAAUGACGUCACUUUUAACAAAAUGGCGUGGCAUGGAUCAUGAGCAAAUUGCUGCAUCGGUUGUUCUUGGUCAUUUAGCAAACUAUGACAGCAGACUACAACGAAUUGCGUACACACUGACUAUUCGCAGCAGACGAGAUUUACGGUCCUAAUUACAAGUCUUUUCGUUUGACAAUAAGCGGUCCAGCUCUUCAGACGAUUAUUUAAUUGCAAAGCGUGCUAAAACAUUUCCAAUCAAAUGUUACUCAUGUGGGAAGCUUGGACACAGGAAGUCGGAAUGCAGAGUGCAGAAACCUUCUACAUCUGGAGAAGAUCAGCAAGCUUCGUCAGUGCGUGCUUAAGUCGUGACUUGAUGUCACGAGCCGGGACACAUCUCUACUCAAUGCCCCAAGAGUUCGGAUGGUGGCGCACGAUCACAUGUGCAUAAGAGGGUUAACCUAUGUGUCGUUGAUGAACCAAAAGCAAUUAUGUUGCGCCCAGGUGAGAAUUUUCCGAUUACAUAUGAUUCAGGCGCAGAAUGCUCGUUAGUCAAAGAGAGCAUAGCACACAAACUGUCUGGGAAAAGAACAAAUAACGUAAUCAUUAAGUGGAAUUGGUAAUGUUAGUGUAGUUUCGUCAAUUCAAAUCACAAGUAAUGUAAUGAUAAAUGGAAAUUGUAUCGAAGUAGUAUUUCAUGUAGUCCAAGAUAAUAAUAAGAAAAAUAAUAUUGUAAUUGGCCGCGAAAUUUUAGCACAAGACAAAACAGUUAACGAAUGUUCUGUAAAAAGUUA